rnacentral:rRNA from 1 species
CACAAGCGGUGGAUCAUGUUGUUUAAUUCGAUUGAUACGCGAAGAACCUUACCAGGUCUUGACAUCCCCCGCGAUGCUUUAGAGAUAAAGCGGAGGUAUUCGGGGAGACAGGUGGUGCAUGGUUGUCGUCAGCUCGUGUCGUGAGAUGUGGGUUAAGUCCCGCAACGAGCGCAACCCUAUUGCUAGUUACCAUCAUUAAGUUGGGGACUCUAGCGAGACUGCCAGUGAUAAACUGGAGGAAGUGGGGAUGACGUCAAAUCAUCAUGCCCCUUAUGACCUGGGCUACAAACGUGAUACAAUGGCUGGAACAAAGGGAUGCGAAGCAGUGAUGUGGAGCGAAACCCAUAAAAACAGUCUCAGUUCGGAUUGAAGUCUGCAACUCGACUUCAUGAAGUCGGAAUCGCUAGUAAUCGCGGAUCAGAACGCCGCGGUGAAUACGUUCUCGGGGUUU